rnacentral:rRNA from 1 species
GAUGAACGCUGGCGGCGUGCUUAAUACAUGCAAGUCGAACGAAGAGUUUCUUGUGUUCGCAUGAGAAUCUCUUAGUGGCGAACGGGUGAGUAACGCGUUGGUGACCUGCCCCAAAGUGAGGAAUAACCCCGGGAAACUGGGGCUAAUACCCCAUGUGGUCAUGAGGAUUAGAGGCCUCAUGUCUAAAGGAGCAAUCCGCUUUGGGAGGGGCCUGCGUCCCAUCAGCUAGUUGGUAGGGUAAUGGCCUACCAAGGCUUCGACGGGUAGGGGGCCUGAGAGGGUGACCCCCCACACUGGCACUGAAACACGGGCCAGACACCUACGGGUGGCAGCAGUAGGGAAUAUUGGGCAAUGGGCGAAAGCCUGACCCAGCAACGCCGCGUGCGCGAUGAAGGCCUUCGGGUUGUAAAGCGCUUUUCUGGGGGAAG